CAGCGGGCUGGGCGCCGGUGGAGGGCGGGGGGUACGAACGGGAACCUCGGCGGUGGCGGGGGGAUGCUCAGGGGAACCCUCAGCAGGUUCCUGGUGAAAUGAGCAGCAAAGCACGAGCCUCAGGUGUUUGCUGGCAGCUGGGCAAGGUGCACAGGGCUCCUGGGAGCCUGCAGGCAUGGAAAUCCCAGCAGGACUGAGCUGAUCGAGCUGUGCCCUUCAGGAGGACCCAGCACUUCCAAGGGGCUUUUUCCACCCCAAUUUUCCCUUUAUUAUGAGCUGUUCCUCAAGAGUAUUCUUCUAGAUCCGUGUUUUUCCUGGGAAUGGAGGUGCCCUUUGUGCUUCUUCUGACCAGGCUCGUGGCAGAAGUUGCUGGAAAAUCCACAGAAAACUCGGUGCCAGACCCGGAAUGUUGUGUGGAAAUGUUGGAUUCCAACAGCUCCUGCCCUGUCAGCCACCAGUGCAGCCCAGGAUGCUACAGGAGGUGGAAUGAGGAUGGGAGCAGCAGCUGCAUCAAGUGCAGGAAUGAGACCCUGCCCAGCCCCUCUGGGCACAACCUCAGCGAGUGCAGGAAUUGUG